rnacentral:rRNA from 1 species
AUGAACGCUAGCUACAGGCUUAACACAUGCAAGUCGAGGGGCAGCAUGGUCUUAGCUUGCUAAGGCCGAUGGCGACCGGCGCACGGGUGAGUAACACGUAUCCAACCUGCCGUCUACUCUUGGACAGCCUUCUGAAAGGAAGAUUAAUACAAGAUGGCAUCAUGAGUCCGCAUGUUCACAUGAUUAAAGGUAUUCCGGUAGACGAUGGGGAUGCGUUCCAUUAGAUAGUAGGCGGGGUAACGGCCCACCUAGUCUUCGAUGGAUAGGGGUUCUGAGAGGAAGGUCCCCCACAUUGGAACUGAGACACGGUCCAAACUCCUACGGGAGGCAGCAGUGAGGAAUAUUGGUCAAUGGGCGAGAGCCUGAACCAGCCAAGUAGCGUGAAGGAUGACUGCCCUAUGGGUUGUAAACUUCUUUUAUAAAGGAAUAAAGUCGGGUAUGCAUACCCGUUUGCAUGUACUUUAUGAAUAAGGAUCGGCUAACUCCGUGCCAGCAGCCGCGGUAAUACGGAGGAUCCGAGCGUUAUCCGGAUUUAUUGUGUUUAAAGGGAGCGUAGAUGGAUGUUUAAGUCAGUUGUGAAAGUUUGCGGCUCAACCGUAAAAUUGCAGUUGAUACUGGAUAUCUUGAGUGCAGUUGAGGCAGGCGGAAUUCGUGGUGUAGCGGUGAAAUGCUUAGAUAUCACGAAGAACUCCGAUUGCGAAGGCAGCCUGCUAAGCUGCAACUGACAUUGAGGCUCGAAAGUGUGGGUAUCAAACAGGAUUAGAUACCCUGGUAGUCCACACGGUAAACGAUGAAUACUCGCUGUUUGCGAUAUACUGCAAGCGGCCAAGCGAAAGCGUUAAGUAUUCCACCUGGGGAGUACGCCGGCAACGGUGAAACUCAAAGGAAUUGACGGGGGCCCGCACAAGCGGAGGAACAUGUGGUUUAAUUCGAUGAUACGCGAGGAACCUUACCCGGGCUUAAAUUGCAGAUGAAUUACGGUGAAAGCCGUAAGCCGCAAGGCAUCUGUGAAGGUGCUGCAUGGUUGUCGUCAGCUCGUGCCGUGAGGUGUCGGCUUAAGUGCCAUAACGAGCGCAACCCUUGUUGUCAGUUACUAACAGGUUCCGCUGAGGACUCUGACAAGACUGCCAUCGUAAGAUGUGAGGAAGGUGGGGAUGACGUCAAAUCAGCACGGCCCUUACGUCCGGGGCUACACACGUGUUACAAUGGGGGGUACAGAGGGCCGCUACCACGCGAGUGGAUGCCAAUCCCCAAAACCUCUCUCAGUUCGGACUGGAGUCUGCAACCCGACUCCACGAAGCUGGAUUCGCUAGUAAUCGCGCAUCAGCCACGGCGCGGUGAAUACGUUCCCGGGCCUUGUACACACCGCCCGUCAAGCCAUGGGAGCCGGGGGUACCUGAAGUGCGUAACCGCGAGGAGCGCCCUAGGGUAAAACUGGUGACUGGGGCU